UUUAUGGAGAGUUUGAUCCUGGCUCAGGACGAACGCUGGCGGCGUGCCUAAUACAUGCAAGUCGAGCGAACAGAAAAGGAGCUUGCUCCUUUGACGUUAGCGGCGGACGGGUGAGUAACACGUGGGCAACCUACCUUAUAGUUUGGGAUAACUCCGGGAAACCGGGGCUAAUACCGAAUAAUCUAUUUUACUUCAUGGUGAAAUACUGAAAGACGGUUUCGGCUGUCGCUAUAAGAUGGGCCCGCGGCGCAUUAGCUAGUUGGUGAGGUAACGGCUCACCAAGGCGACGAUGCGUAGCCGACCUGAGAGGGUGAUCGGCCACACUGGGACUGAGACACGGCCCAGACUCCUACGGGAGGCAGCAGUAGGGAAUCUUCCACAAUGGGCGAAAGCCUGAU
rnacentral:rRNA from 1 species